UACGUAGGGGGCAAGCGUUGUCCGGAUUCAUUGGGCGUAAAGAGCGUGUAGGCGGCCAGAUAGGUCAGCUGUGAAAACUCGGGGCUCAACCCUGAGACGUCGGUUGAAACCAUCUGGCUAGAGUCCGGAAGAGGAGUGUGGAAUUCCCGGUGUAGCGGUGAAAUGCGCAGAUAUCGGGAAGAACACCCGUGGCGAAGGCAGGUCUCUGGGCAUUAACGUGACGCUGAGGAGCGAAAGCAUGGGGAGCGAACAGG
rnacentral:rRNA from 1 species